rnacentral:rRNA from 1 species
CCUACGGGAGGCAGCAGUGAGGAAUAUUGGUCAAUGGACGAGAGUCUGAACCAGCCAAGUAGCGUGAAGGAUGACUGCCCUAUGGGUUGUAAACUUCUUUUAUAAGGGAAUAAAACGCGGCACGUGUGCCUUUUUGCAUGUACUUUAUGAAUAAGGAUCGGCUAACUCCGUGCCAGCAGCCGCGGUAAUACGGAGGAUCCGAGCGUUAUCCGGAUUUAUUGGGUUUAAAGGGAGCGUAGAUGGGUUGUUAAGUCAGUUGUGAAAGUUUGCGGCUCAACCGUAAAAUUGCAAUUGAUACUGGCAGUCGUGAGUACAGUUGAGGUAGGCGGAAUUCGUGGUGUAGCGGUGAAAUGCUUAGAUAUCACGAAGAACCCCGAUUGCGAAGGCAGCUUACUAAACUGUGACUGACAUUGAUGCUCGAAAGUGUGGGUAUCAAACAGGAUUAGAUACCCUGGUAGUC